AGGGUUUGAUUAUGGCUCAGGAUAAACGCUAGCGGCAGGCCUAACACAUGCAAGUCGAGGGGCAGCGGGUGGAGUAUUUCGGUACUCCUGCCGGCGACCGGCGCACGGGUGCGUAACGCGUAUGCAACCUACCUUUAACAGGGGGAUAAUCCGAAGAAAUUUGGUCUAAUACCCCAUAAUAUCAUUUAAGGCAUCUUAGAUGGUUGAAAAUUCCGAUGGUUAGAGAUGGGCAUGCGUUGUAUUAGCUAGUUGGUGAGGUAACGGCUCACCAAGGCUACGAUACAUAGGGGGACUGAGAGGUUUUCCCCCCACACUGGUACUGAGACACGGACCAG
rnacentral:rRNA from 1 species